GGUUUGUGGCUCAGUGGUAGAGCGCUUGCCUAGCAUGGGUGAGGCACUGGGUUCAAUCCUCAGCACCG
rnacentral:tRNA from 1 species